rnacentral:lncRNA from 1 species
AAGUUCUCUUCCUACGACUUCAUUUCUGUAAAGUUGCCAAUGCAACCCCUGUGAAAGCGCCUCAAUGGGAUGGUUCUCCAGGCUUGGCCCAGAAAUCCGGAAUAAUCUCAACUUUGAUCAGCACUCGCUUUUCAGGUCCACAAAAACCACCACCACCACAACCAUCCGACGUAAAUGUCAACUCUGCAUUAUACCCUGGAGGACCUCCCGUGCCUGCUCAGUCACCUAAACUUCUGAGGUUUGUUGACACAACCGAAAUGACAAGAGGACCGCAAGAUUUGCCUGGAUUCUGGAUUGUGUCUGGUGCAAGGCUUUAUGUAGAGAAGGGUAAAAUAUCACUCAAAGUAAAAUAUUCUCGGGAAACCGGUCUGAAGAAAGUUCUCUUCCUACGACUUCAUUUCUGUAAAGUUGCCAAUGCAACCCCUGUGAAAGCGCCUCAAUGGGAUGGUUCUCCAGGCUUGGCCCAGAAAUCCGGAAUAAUCUCAACUUUGAUCAGCACUCGCUUUUCAGGUCCACAAAAACCACCACCACCACAACCAUCCGACGUAAAUGUCAACUCUGCAUUAUACCCUGGAGGACCUCCCGUGCCUGCUCAGUCACCUAAACUUCUGAGGUUUGUUGACACAACCGAAAUGACAAGAGGACCGCAAGAUUUGCCUGGAUUCUGGAUUGUGUCUGGUGCAAGGCUUUAUGUAGAGAAGGGUAAAAUAUCACUCAAAGUAAAAUAUUCUCUUUUAACCGUGAUUUUAC